GCCCUUAGAGUUUGAUCAUGGCUCAGGACGAACGCUGGCGGCGUGCUUAACACAUGCAAGUUGAACGUUCCGCCCUUUUUGGCCUUCGGGUCAUAAAGGACCACGGAAAGUGGCGGACGGGUGAGUAACGCGUGGAGAACCUAUCCUCAAGUUGAGGAUAACCUGGCGAAAGUCGGGCUAAUCCUGAAUAAGCUGACAGAUGAGCAUUCAUCAGUCAGAAAAGGUGCUUUUUAGCAUCGCUUAAGGAGGGCUCCGCGUCGGAUUAGCUAGCUGGUAGGGUAAAAGCCUACCAGGGCAACAAUCCGUAGCUGGUCUGAGAGGACGAUCAGUCACACCGGAACUGAGACACGGUCCGGACUCCUACGGGAGGCAGCAGUGGGGAAUCUUCCACAAUGGGCGCAAGCCUGAUGGAGCAACGUCGCGUGAGUGAAGAAGGCCUUCGGGUUGUAAAGCUCUGUCACCGGGGAAGAACCACCGGCAGG
rnacentral:rRNA from 1 species